rnacentral:rRNA from 1 species
GCAAGUCGAACGGAACCCUUCGGGGUUUAGUGGCGGACGGGUGAGUAACGCGUGAGAAACUGCCCUCAGGAGGGGGAUAACGGUUGGAAACGACCGCUAAUACCCCAUAUGCCGCGAGGUGAAAUGAAUUUCGCCUGAGGAUGAGCUCGCGUCUGAUUAGUUAGUUGGUGGGGUAAAGGCCUACCAAGACAUCGAUCAGUAGCUGGUCUGAGAGGAUGAUC